CCUACGGGGGGCAGCAGUGAGGAAUAUUGGUCAAUGGACGAGAGUCUGAACCAGCCAAGUAGCGUGAAGGAUGACUGCCCUAUGGGUUGUAAACUUCUUUUAUAUGGGAAUAAAACAGGGUAUGCAUACCCUCUUGUAUGUACCAUAUGAAUAAGGAUCGGCUAACUCCGUGCCAGCAGCCGCGGUAAUACGGAGGAUCCGAGCGUUAUCCGGAUUUAUUGGGUUUAAAGGGAGCGUAGGUGGAUUGUUAAGUCAGUUGUGAAAGUUUGCGGCUCAACCCCGGCGAGCCGUUGAAACUGGCUGUCUUGAGAUGUCGAGAGGUAUGCGGAAUGCGCAGUGUAGCGGUGAAAUGCUUAGAUAUUGCGCAGAACUCCGAUUGCGAAGGCAGCAUACCGGCGGCGAUCUGACGCUGAGGCACGAAAGCGUGGGUAUCGAACAGGAUUAGAUACCCUUGUAGUC
rnacentral:rRNA from 1 species